rnacentral:tmRNA from 1 species
GGGGCUGAUUCUGGAUUCGACGGGAUUUGCGAAACCCAAGGUGCAUGCCGAGGGGCGGUUGGCCUCGUAAAAAGCCGCAAAAAAAUAGUCGCAAACGACGAAAACUACGCUUUAGCAGCUUAAUAACCUGCUUAGAGCCCUCUCUCCCUAGCCUCCGCUCUUAGGACGGGGAUCAAGAGAGGUCAAACCCAAAAGAGAUCGCGCGGAUGCCCUGCCUGGGGUUGAAGCGUUAAAACGAAUCAGGCUAGUCUGGUAGUGGCGUGUCCGUCCGCAGGUGCCAGGCGAAUGUAAAGACUGACUAAGCAUGUAGUACCGAGGAUGUAGGAAUUUCGGACGCGGGUUCAACUCCCGCCAGC